GGUGAACGCUGGCGGUAGGCCUAACACAUGCAAGUCGAACGGCAGCACAGUAAGAGCCUGCUCUUACGGGUGGCGAGUGGCGGACGGGUGAGGAAUACAUCGGAAUCUACUUUUUCGUGGGGGAUAACGUAGGGAAACUUACGCUAAUACCGCAUACGACCUACGGGUGAAAGCAGGGGAUCCUCGGACCUUGCGCGAUUGAAUGAGCCGAUGUCGGAUUAGCUAGUUGGCGGGGUAAAGGCCCACCAAGGCGACGAUCCGUAGCUGGUCUGAGAGGAUGAUCAGCCACACUGGAACUGAGACACGGUCCAGACUCCUACGGGAGGCAGCAGUGGGGAAUAUUGGACAAUGGGCGCAAGCCUGAUCCAGCCAUACCGCGUGGGUGAAGAAGGCCUUCGGGUUGUAAAGCCCUUUUGUUGGGAAAGAAAAGCAGCAGGUUAAUACCCCGCUGUUCUGACGGUACCCAAAGAAUAAGCACCGGCUAACUUCGUG
rnacentral:rRNA from 1 species